rnacentral:sRNA from 1 species
UUUACAGUCCUGGAGAGUGAAGUUGAUAGAUCAACAGAACGGGUAGCAGCGUCAUAAGCUUUCCCCACCUUGCCCUGCCAAUUUCCAUCAACCUUGCACUUGAGGGACCACCUCUAGGGUCAGGAAACUAGUUCAGCCUUUAAGCUCAAUUUAUUUAAUUCU